rnacentral:sRNA from 1 species
UUUUUGUUUUGUUUUUG